rnacentral:rRNA from 1 species
UUGACGGGGAGCACCACAACGGGUGGAGCUUGUCGUUUAAUUGGAUUCAACGCCGGAAAUUCUUACCGGGACCGACAGCAAUAUGAAGGCCAGGCUGAAGACUUUGCCGGAUUAGCUGAGAGGUGGUGCAUGGCCGUCGUCAGUUCGUACUGUGAAGCAUCCUGUUAAGUCAGGCAACGAGCGAGGCCCACGCCCACAGUUGCCAGCGUACUCUCUGGAGUGACGGGUACACUGUGGGGACCGCGCUGCUAAAGCGGAGGAAGGAAUGGGCAACGGUAGGUCAGCAUGCCCCGAAUUAUCUGGGCUACACGCGGGCUACAAUGGGUGGGACAAUGGGUAUCGACACCGAAAGGUGAAGGCAAUCUCCUAAACCCAUCCGUAGUUCGGAUUGUGGGCUGCAACUCGCCCACAUGAAGCUGGAAUCUGUAGUAAUCGUGUCUCAAAAUGGCACGGUGAAUAUGUCCCUGCUCCUU